rnacentral:rRNA from 1 species
UGGAUCCAGACUUUGAUCCUGGCUCAGGAUGAACGCUAGCUACAGGCUUAACACAUGCAAGUCGAGGGGCAGCAUGGUCUUAGCUUGCUAAGACUGAUGGCGACCGGCGCACGGGUGAGUAACACGUAUCCAACCUGCCGUCUACUCUUGGACAGCCUUCUGAAAGGAAGAUUAAUACAAGAUGGCAUCAUGAGUCCACAUGUUCACAUGAUUAAAGGUAUUCCGGUAGACGAUGGGGAUGCGUUCCAUUAGAUAGUAGGCGGGGUAACGGCCCACCUAGUCUUCGAUGGAUAGGGGUUCUGAGAGGAAGGUCCCCCACAUUGGAACUGAGACACGGUCCAAACUCCUACGGGAGGCAGCAGUGAGGAAUAUUGGUCAAUGGGCGAGAGCCUGAACCAGCCAAGUAGCGUGAAGGAUGACUGCCCUAUGGGUUGUAAACUUCUUUUAUAAAGGAAUAAAGUCGGGUAUGCAUACCCGUUUGCAUGUACUUUAUGAAUAAGGAUCGGCUAACUCCGUGCCAGCAGCCGCGGUAAUACGGAGGAUCCGAGCGUUAUCCGGAUUUAUUGGGUUUAAAGGGAGCGUAGAUGGAUGUUUAAGUCAGUUGUGAAAGUUUGCGGCUCAACCGUAAAAUUGCAGUUGAUACUGGAUAUCUUGAGUGCAGUUGAGGCAGGCGGAAUUCGUGGUGUAGCGGUGAAAUGCUUAGAUAUCACGAAGAACUCCGAUUGCGAAGGCAGCCUGCUAAGCUGCAACUGACAUUGAGGCUCGAAAGUGUGGGUAUCAAACAGGAUUAGAUACCCUGGUAGUCCACACGGUAAACGAUGAAUACUCGCUGUUUGCGAUAUACAGCAAGCGGCCAAGCGAAAGCGUUAAGUAUUCCACCUGGGGAGUACGCCGGCAACGGUGCAACUCAAAGGAAUUGACGGA